rnacentral:lncRNA from 1 species
UGAACAUUCCAAAUGUAUAUAGAAUAUUAUUUUUAAUAUACCAUUCAAGACUAGACAUUACACUCAUUGUGAUGGUCCCUUCCUUAAGGGGCCAUUCCGCUGCGUGUCUUCUGUGUUUCCUUGUCUUGUCCUUGUAUGUGUAAUGGUCCCUUCCUUAAGGGGCCAUUCCGCUUCGUGUUUUCUGUGUUUCCUUGUCUUGUCCUUGUAUGGUCUUUCCUGUUCUUGUUUCUGUUCAACGUUAUAUUCAGUUCACCUGUGUUUUAGCCCCCACCUGUUUCUGUUUUCCUCGUUUUCUCAGUGUAUUUAGUUCAGCCCUUUUCUCCUUGUCCUUGUGGGUCAUUGUGUGUGUAUAUGUCGUGUACGCCUGUUGUGCCUGUUGUGCCUGUUGUGCCUGUUGUGCCUGUUGUGCCUGUUGUGCCUGUUGCGCCUGUUGCGCCUGUUGCGCCUGUUGCGCCUGUUGCGCCUGUUGCGCCUGUUGCGCCUGUUGCGCCUGUUGCGCCUGUUGCGCCUGUUGCGCCUGUUGCGCCUGUUGCGCCUGUUGCGCCUGUUGCGCCUGUUGCGCCUGUUGCGCCUGUUGCGCCUGUUGCGCCUGUUGCGCCUGUUGCGCCUGUUGCGCCUGUUGCGCCUGUUGCGCCUGUUGCGCCUGUUGCGCCUGCACCAUUGGACUUUUUGUAGUGCCCGGCACUCAGUUACGUUAUUCCUUCGUUUGUUUAAUAAAAAGGGGAAACCCUAUGGACUUCUGCAUUUGCCUCCGUCUCCAUACCUAACAGCGUGACAGAAUGACCCACCGACCAAAAAGGAGGCAGCAGAAGUGGACGGUAGGGGAACUCCUCGGAUGGCCAGAUUCCGACUCCGAGGAGGAGGACCCCUACCGUCACCCCCUGGACCGCUGGAUUCCCCGGUGGCCAUCCCCCAGCGUAAGCCCGCGUCAGCCACAGCAAAGCCGACCCAGAGACCCAUUCCGGUCGGCACCCUGUCUCACUUCCCAGGUUCCCCGAGCGGCCUGGCGUGGUAGCAGGCUGGCCAUUCGGCGUACCCCGCUACCCACUCCUGUCCCGCGGUCAGCCCAGGGCCCUACUCCUGUCCCGCGGCCUGCCCCGGCCUCUACUCGUGUCCCGCGGCCUGCCCCGGCCUCUACUCGUGUCCCGCGGCCUGCCCCGGCCUCUACUCGUGUCCCGCGGCCUGCCCCGGCCUCUACUCGGGUCCCGCGGCCUGCCCCGGUCCCCACUCCUGUCCCGCGGCCUGCCCCGGUCCCUACUCGUGUCCCGUGGUCAGCCCCGGUCCCUACUCCUGUCCCGCGGUCAGCCCCGGUCCCUACUCCUGUCCCGCGGUCAGCCCCGGUCCCUACUCCUGUCCCGCGGCCCGCCCCGGUCCCUACUCCUGUCCCGCGGCCCGCCCCGGUCCCUACUCCUGUCCCGCGGCCCGCCCCGGUCCCUACUCCUGUCCCGCGGCCCGCCCCGGUCCCUACUCCUGUCCCGCGGCCUGCCCCGGUCCCUACUCCGGUCCCUACUCCGGUCCUGCGGCCUGCCCCGGUCCCUACUCCGGUCCCUACUCCUGUCCCGCGGCCUGCCCCGGUCCCUACUCCUGUCCCGCGGCCUGCCCCGGUCCCUACUCCUGUCCCGCGGCCUGCCCCGGUCCCUACUCCUGUCCCGCGGCCUGCCCCGGUCCCUACUCCGGUCCCGCGGCCUGCCCCGGUCCCGCGGCCUGCCCCGGUCCCUACUCCGGUCCCUACUCCGGUCCCGCGGCCUGCCCCGGCCCCUACUCCGGUCCCGCGGCCUGCCCCGGUCCCUGUUCCAGCUCCGCUACCGGUGCUGGAGAGGCAGCCAGCGCCCCCUGCUGCCCUGGAGAGGCAGCCAGCGCCCCCUGCUGCCCUGGAGAGGCAGCCAGCGCCCCCUGCUGCCCUGGAGAGGCAGCCAGCGCCCCUGCUGCCCUGGAGAGGCAGCCAGCGCCCCUGCUGCCCUGGAGAGGCAGCCAGCGCCCCCUGCUGCCCUGGAGAGGCAGCCAGCGCCCCCUGCUGCCCUGGAGAGGCAGCCAGCGCCCCCUGCUGCCCUGGAGAGGCAGCCAGCGCCCCCUGCUGCCCAGUGUCCGCCAGCUCCCCUGCUGCCCAGUGUCCGCCAGCUCCCCCCUGCUGCCCAGUGUCCGCCAGCUCCCCCUGCUGCCCAGUGUCCGCCAGCUCCCCCUGCUGCCCAGUGUCCGCCAGCUCCCCUGCUGCCCAGUGUCCGCCAGCUCCCCCUGCUGCCCAGUGUCCGCCAGCUCCCCCUGCUGCCCAGUGUCCGCCAGCUCCCCCUGCUGCCCAGUGUCCGCCAGCUCCCCCUGCUGCCCAGUGUCCGCCAGCUCCCCCUGCUGCCCAGUGUCCGCCAGCUCCCCCUGCUGCCCAGGGUCGGCCCGAGCCGCCCCUGGAGGACUGGUGGCCCGAGCCGCCCCUGGAGGACUGGUGGCCCGAGCCGCCCCUGGAGGACUGGUGGCCCGAGCCGCCCCUGGAGGACUGGUGGCCCGAGCCGCCCCUGGAGGACUGGUGGCCCGAGCCGCCACCUCCUCCCGCGGCGCCUUCUCCUGCCCAGACACCGCCGCCUCGUCCCGCGGCGUCCACUCCUGCCCAGGCAUCGCCGCCUGUCCCGGCCUCAGCGGCGCCCUCGCCUGUCCCGGCCUCAGCGGCGCCCUCGCCUGUCCCGGCCUCAGCGGCGCCCUCGCCUGUCC